UACGUAGGUGGCAAGCGUUACUCGGAAUUACUGGGCGUAAAGGGUGAGUAGGCGGCUGGGCAAGUCAAGGAUGAAAGCCCGAGGCUCAACUUCGGAAUUGUCCUUGAAACUGCUCAGCUUGAGGGUAGUUGAGGAGAGUGGAAUUCCCGGUGGAGCGGUGAAAUGCGUAGAUAUCGGGAGGAACACAUGAGGCGAAGGCGGCUCUCUAAGCUAUUCCUGACGCUGAAUCACGAAAGCUAGGGGAUCAAACGGG
rnacentral:rRNA from 1 species